rnacentral:lncRNA from 1 species
GUGUCAGAAUUGGGAGUUGAAAAUGUCGAGAGUUGUUUGUUAUCAUUAUUUGAGGAUGCCGUAGCCGUCAGAAAAGAGGACACAAACUACCAAACAAUCAGACAGUGAAAGAGAGGGGGGCAGCCAGAGAAAUCACGAGUGAUGUACCGCUUUCAUGAUUAGUAAAUAGCCAGAUAACUUUUAUACGGCAUAGGAAAGAUACCUACACUGUAUAGAAGAAGAAA